rnacentral:tRNA from 1 species
UGACUAGAGCCAGAUUUGAACCAGAGACCUAAGAGUCACCGUUGUUGCGUCUACAGUCCUGCGCUCUGCCAACUGAGCUAUCAAGGGGAUC